GAAACACACCAUACCACCUGCAGUUUAAACUAGAUAAUUGAUCUUAAGUUAUGCAGGUUUGGGCCUGGCCAGUACUUGGAUGGGAGACUGACUUGUCAAUCUGGGUUGUUGCU
rnacentral:rRNA from 1 species